rnacentral:rRNA from 1 species
GUCCACGCCGUAAACGAUGGGCAUUAGGUGUGGGAGGUGUCGACUCCUCCCGUGCCGGCGCUAACGCAUUAAAUGCCCCGCCUGGGGAGUACGGCCGCAAGGCUAAAACUCAAAGGAAUUGACGGGGGCCCGCACAAGCAGCGGAGCAUGUGGUUUAAUUCGAUGCAACGCGAAGAACCUUACCUGGGCUUGACAUGUUUGUGACCGCCGUGGAAACACGGUUUCCCUUCGGGGCACUUACACAGGUGGUGCAUGGCUGUCGU